GCCAGCAUGGUAUAGUGGUUUGAGUGCUGGACUAGGACUCUGGGAGACCAAGGUUCAAAUCCCUGCUCAGUCA
rnacentral:tRNA from 1 species